rnacentral:rRNA from 1 species
UACGUAGGGGGCAAGCGUUGUCCGGAUUUAUUGGGCGUAAAGAGCGUGUAGGCGGUUUGGUAGGUCCGCUGUGAAAACUCGAGGCUCAACCUCGAGACGCCGGUGGAAACCAUCAGACUAGAGUCCGGAAGAGGAGAGUGGAAUUCCUGGUGUAGCGGUGAAAUGCGCAGAUAUCAGGAAGAACACCCGUGGCUAAGGCGGCUCUCUAGUACGGUACUGACGCUGAGACGCGAAAGCGUGGUGAGCGAACAGG